GCCACCGCCACGUGGACGCAGUAGCCGUGGGGAAGUUUUCGCAAUGGCCGCCGGAACGGUCGCCGGCCGAUGCUCUCUGCGACGGAAAGAAAGCCGCCGGACCCACUUCCGGUGCGUUUUACAAUGAACUCCGGGCACUCGAGUCGCUCCCCGGAAACUAUAGUUCUGCUUCCACCGUUGUCCUACUUUGGAUAGAUGGGGUCUUGCUCUGUCACCUAGGCUGGAGUGCAGUAGCAUGAUAUGGCUCACUGCAGCCUCAAACUUGUGGGCUUAAGCGAUCCUCCUGCCUGCCUUCUGAGUAGCUAGGACUACAGAGCAUCAAGACAAAAAUCUCAGUCUUCGAGGAACUCACAGUGUAGCAGAAAAGACAAAGGAGGUAAACAGGAGGAGCAUGAAUAAUUCAUCUUGAUGUAAUCAUGCAAGACUCCUAAGAAGAUGUUAGGAGACCCUGUCAUCAUUCUUUUGGCCUCUAGUGUCCUUUAUCUUCAUGUUUGCUGGCUUCCUUUUACUACUAUGGAAAUACAACAUAUGCAAAAGUAGUGUUUUCACUGUUUAAAAACAUCGUCAGCAGCAUCAUCAUCAUUAACUGCACCAGGAAGCCAUGACUCCUUUCUGGACAAGGUGCACUUGCCUGUCAUCCUUCCAUCUCUUUCUUCCUCCUUGAAGUUCACAAUACCCAGUCCAGGAGCAUUGCAGAGAAUGCUAGGUGUGUCUGCAGACUUGACUUUAAAAGAAAACAAGUUCCUUCAAGUGAGUUCAUCAUGAUGGGAAUGAUAAUUUGUUUGAGAGAAUGUGUGUUCUUUGGCAAAGGAACUCCUGUUAUACCAUGACAGUAAUAAUAGCAGUAAUAAAAUCACCAAUAAUAAAUUUACUUUUGAAUUUA
rnacentral:lncRNA from 1 species